CUUUCAAAAGCAAAGAAAUCUACACUUACCCACACCUAAAUCCGGUUCCGUUCCUUAAUUGCCGAGAAUCACGAUCGAUUUGCUUGUAGAUCCUUGAAGUUUUAUCUUCUGUUUGAAGCAGCUAGUUGGGUAUAAUUUCCAUUUCGACGAUUCCGCUUCACACAAUCGAUCGUUUCCCAAUAUCUAGAGGUGCAGCAGAACAUAAUAUCACAUAAUGAAGUGUCUUGUGUGUAUUGGCGCCAGGAAUGGAGCAUCUUCACUUGAACUCUCCAUGCCGUAUGGGCGGACGUCCUUGAGGAAAGCAAAGGUGGCCGCCAUUGAUGAGAUGGAAGUGAAAGCAAGUUUCAGUAAGCUGAAUGAUUGUUUGUGAGUGUGAUGGGUUUUUUUCGUUACAGAAGCUCACUAUUUAUAGUAGUUCGAUAAGUGUAUAAUUUAGUUUUGAUUUCAGUUGAAGAAUCAAGGUAGAAAUCGAAUAAAUAGCGUAAUUCCGGGGAUAUAUGGAUAGUAGUUGCGAUCCUUCCAUAAGUUGGGAAGCACAAUUUGCGUGAUUUAUGGGUUUUUGAUGAGAUUUUCUAAAUGAAGAUAUUGACAGAGAGAUAUGUAGAGAUCUUCGGUGAUGGCGGAGGUCACGCAGAGGUGACAAACAGUUGGGCUUAAUUUCUUUGGGCUUCGAUUUUUUUUGGGUUCUAAGUUUGUUUGCGAAUUUUUUCUUUUUUAAAGUUUUAAAAAAUAAAGCUAGUGGCAGAAGAUUGUAAAUAAGUGAGCAAAAUGAGGGUUUUUUCAUAAGUGUCUUUAAAAAUGUUAAAUUAAAUGGCUGCAAUAUCAAAUGUUCUGCCUCACAAAAAGGAUUUGGCAUAUUCGCCUCCACUCAACCAUCUGAUGUAAUAUUAUUGUCAAUGCCAAGAAGACUUACGAUAGAUUCACAUUUUUUUUCCUUUUUCUGGAAAAUAUAUGGAACAUUGAGUUUAUCACCUCUAUGUCUUGCUUGUUGUGCGCUUGGUUUGGCCAUUACCCCUAUGAGAGUUCUUUCAGGAGUAGUACCCUCUCGUCUCCCCAAAGUGUCAAAAAAUGUUCCCAGAAGGACAAGUUGAUGAUCGCUUGCUCAUGAUUUUGUUUCUCACUCUUCGAAUCAAUUCUUAGUGGAAGCUGUACCUUGAUAUGCUUCCUACUCGAUUCUGCAAUCCUCUUUGGUUUUCUGAUUCUGAGAUCCUUGAGCUCAAGGGGACAAACUUAUAUCAUGCAACUGAGUUACAGAAGAAGAAGUUGAUGUCGCUUUACCAUGGGAAGGUGGAGGCCCUGGUGAAAAAGCUCUUACUUUUGGAUGGUGAUUCCGAAAGGUUAACAUACGUAACAUAUUUACAAAUUGCUGUUCAUUGGUGCUUGAACCAAUCAUAUUUUGUUUAGUCUUUGGUGCAGCGAGGUCUCCUUUGAACAUUUCCUCUGGGCAAAUUCUGUAUUCUGGAGUCGUGCCUUGAACAUUCCUCUUCCACAUUCUUUUGUGUUUCCACAAAGCCAGGAAGAUGACCCAUCAACAAGUCAUACACCUGAAACGGACCCAGUUAAUUCAAAUGGGGGAAAA